rnacentral:lncRNA from 1 species
GAAAAAUGUGAAGUGAUGUCUGUGGCUUUGUAUUAUAAGGUUCCACAUUUUCCCAAAUGUAUGAGCCUCUAACCUAAGACAUGUCCAAAAGUUCUUUACUUACAGGGACAUGAUCUAGGGGCUUAGAGGGCCCUGGAAAAGUAAGAUAAUAUAUUUUAAAGACCCAAUUUUACACAAAAGAACAAAAAGAGGAAGAACUAUAGCAGAAUGCCACUGCUGUGGAUUCAGACUUCACCUCCCUGCCCACGGAGAUGAUUGAAGGGGAAAAAGGACAGAACAUGAAACUAACAAGCUUGAGGCCUUAUCAGUGUCUAUAUUGGCAAAUUGAGGAGCGAUGCACUCCCCAAGGCUGAAUGUUUUUCUACCAAUGCAUAAGAUCUACCAGCCACAGACAGGCACUGUUUUUAGAUGGUCUUGAGGCAUCUCAUUUUACAAAGGAUAUAGAAACAGACGGAUGCUAUAUAGAAACUGGUGGAGUGGGGUGGAAGAGAAGACAGAAGACAAGGGUUAUAAUUUAAUCAUAUAAACUCUGGAUGCAAUAACCAAGGUCUCCCCAGAAAGCUGUCAGUGUAUACUUGUGUGGUGAGUAGAUUUCUAAUCAGCUCUAGAAGGGUGGCCAAACACAGCUAAACUGUGUCUUUUAGUAGCAGGAAAAGCAUCUGCUAUAGUUUAGAUGUUUGUCCCCCAAACUCCAUAUUGAAAUUUGACCCCCAAUAUUGGAUGGGGGCCUAAGGGGAGGUGUUUGGAUCCUGAGGACAGAUCCCUCAUGAAUGUCUUGGUACUGUCCUCACAGUGAAGAGUGAGUUCUCACACUAUCAGCUCCCUUGAGAAACUGGUUGUCAAAACAAGCCUGGCACUCCCCAUCCCCUCACCACGUGGUCUCUGCACACACGAGCUUCCAUUCACUUUUCAUCAUGUAUGGAACCAACCCGAGGACCUCAUUGGAAAGAGAGUGGAUGCUGGCACCAUGCUUCUUGUUCAGCCUGCAGAACUGGGAGACAACAUAAACCUCUUUCCUUUAUAACUUACCCAGACUUGAGUAUUUCUUUGUAGCAAUACAAACAGACAAAGCAUCUGACAAGCAAGUUGUUCAAUGAAGAGAUUGUUAGAGCCUGGGGAAGAGUCAUCAUGUUCAAUUGGUACAAGAUGCAAUUAACUAAUAUGAUUUGGGACAGCUGUCUCCAUUGAGGUCACCAGGGUGUCAUGGAGUGAAGCUUCAGGAGGAAGAGCUGACUACUUCCUACCCUGGGCUCCAUUUUUGUCAGGGCUCUACAGAGAGACAGAACUGACAAGAUAUAAAGAGAGGAAUAAAACAAAAAUCCAGAUAUUUCUAUAAAUCCGAUUAUUUGCCAAAUUAAAUGUGAAAGCUUGCCUCUAUCUCUUUCCAUUGUGUGCAGAUAUUUUGCACAGUGUGGAUUUGGUCUCUAGGUGUGAGUGUGCCCUGGACACAAUGCAUAGUAGACAGACAUUGUGCUUCGUUGUAGACACUGUGCUAGGCACGUAUUACACAUUGCCCCAAAUCCUUAUCACAAACACAUCAGGAGUAUGAUGGCCAAGGAGGAAGCUGUGGCUCAGCCCAUUGAGGCUGUAUAUCCAGGGAUCAACAGCCAGUAAGUGGGUGUGCUGACUCCCAAGGCCAAAGCCCACCUACUUGCCAGGUAACUUUCUAGGGAUAUGAAGGCAUUCUAUGUUAUGAUGGUGUGUGUUACAUGAGUGUAUCUGUCUACCAAAAGUGUGCUUCCAUGAUUUAUGCAAUCAGAUAUGGGAUAUAAUGGUAACUCAUGUUUUUACCCAAGGAUUUUUUCAUCACCAUAAAACAUCACUUCUACUCAGCUUUAUUCUAAUGAUUUGAGGCAGAGUUUAAAAAUCUGUCAAAAUUAAAUAUAUUUUUAACAAAGUGAAGACAUCUAGACAAACAGACAAUGGGGUAGGAAAGAUGGAGCUAAAACCAGGGCUGAGUUUCAUUCACAGAUGGCUCGAGGUCCUACUCAAUUACUAGAAAUGGGCUAAAUAUUCACCUCUAAGCUUUCCAAUAAGCAACACAGUAGGAACAAUAUCAACGCAAUAGGCCUCAGAGUCCAUGAGAAAUAAACUAAACAGUUGCUUAGGGAAAGCAGAGCUAUUUCUGGUAAGAAAUUCAGAGAGAGUUUUCCUUUGAGUCUUCAUAAAGAAGACACUCUUCGAUGUAGGGCGCAGCAUUAACUACAUUCUUAUGCAAGUUGUAAAGGCUAAAUCUCAUAAAAUAUUUUAAUAUAGGCCAUAACACCAAGCAGCAAAAAUAGAGAACUAGAGGAUGGGGAGAUGGAAUUUGCUGUGUUUGGAAAUUAAUACGAUUAUUGGUUUUCUGUGUUCUCACUUAAUCCAGGGUUUUAAGGAAUCUAGAGAAAAAUCAGGAUUGAUGUUUUUCAUUAGUGCGUUUUCUUACAACUAAAGCUCUUGAACGCUCUGGGUGGUGGGGAGUUUGGGUUGCACUUGGCUUGUGAUGAGUUUCCCAGGGAGAUGCACUUCUCAGCUGGACCACCUGAGCACACCACCAGGAAAAGCUUUUGGGUAACCCCGGAGGCAGGAAAAUUUCCUAUGGGUGCUUUAUUCAGCUGUAGUCCUAUAAUCAGCCUUUCACAUAAUUUGAUAGAACUGACCAAUGUGAAAUGAAACUGUUAAUAAGAUCCCAAACUCUCCAGAGAAGAGGACUCUCUAUGGCUAGUAGAAACACCCAAAUUAAAAUAAUGGAAACCCAAUGGCCAUAGUUAGAGAAGGGUGGUCACGUGCCUUUUGUUUCUGAAGAGGGCAGUUCCAAACAAACAUGCUGUCUGUGCCUCUGAGCUAAGACAGUUCUUGUAAAGGGAGCUGAGGCACCAUGGCUGGAAAUCUCCUCCAACCAGCCUGAAAGGGCAUCCAAUAGACACUUAUGGUUUGGGGUUUAGAAAGUACCCAGUCAAGACUGUUAUUUUCAACCAAUCAGAAUUGAAUGUGUUCAAAUCAUUCAUUUACAUAUACAGACCUGAUUGAAGACUGUGACAGGAAUUUUCUUUAUUUAAGCCAGACCCUUUCUUUGUUCUCCAGAAUGUGCUUUUGUUUUCCACCAAAGCCUGUGUCUUCCCGAUACCUAGAUUGUUUUCUAUUUAAUAAAAAAUAAAGUUCUCAACUUUUCCUCCACAGAUCUCAUGGUUUUUUGUUAGCACCUCAAAUAGAUGUGUAUAAAGGUGGAAAAAGCAAAUUUCCAGUGCGUUAGCUGGGGUUAAAGUCUCUGUUUUCACGCGUCGGAUUUGGGCUUCA